UUAACUUAUUUGUUUGUUUACUCAGAGAUAUCACUAAGAUGCAGAGUUUCGUACCUCCGGCGGGCGGCCCCACACCGCGAAGGGUGUGGGGCCACGGCCCGGGCGCCGGACAGGAUCCGGCUCCGCGAGCGCUCCCGCCGAAGCAACGCUGAUGGAUAGGUUCGCGAUGGUUUUAAGCAGCCUUUCGGCGCUCUUGUAAUGAUCCCUCCGCUGGUUCACCAACGGAGA
rnacentral:misc_RNA from 1 species